ACGGCCACGGCUCGCAGCCGUGUCGGUCUCUCGCUCUCGCGAUAUUACUCGUCGCUCGCCGAGAGAAGUGUGAUCGUCGUCGUCGUCGUGUGUGUGUUCCGUGCUCCUCUGAUCGUGUGUACCCUCUCGUCGCCGCCGCCGUCGUAGUCGUUCCCAUCCGCUGGCUGGCUCUCGAGUAUUCAUCACUGCGCGCUUAACCUUGCCCGUCGCGCGCGCUUUUCCUUUCCUUGGUCAGGACGCAACGCGUGCCGCCUUUACGCACCCGCGACUUCUUUUCUUCUUUACCGUACGUGCACGGAUUAACCUACAUACGGGGCUGUCAUCCACGCGCAACUUCGACGCACGGUGCGCAGAAUUCCUAGAGCCUAGAAUGACGGGAUUAAACGGAAAGAUAAAGAUACAUUUUGUAGCGCAGUUUGUCAGUGUACUACAAAGAGGAGCAAAGUGGAGCUAUCGGGUCGGAUAAAAACGCUUUGAGCCUGCGGCAUCUUCGUGGUGCGGGGCCCUUAGUACUGGCGUAUCCGGAUACUUCGCAGCAGUCGCGACGUGACGUCAAGCGAUAUCCUCGCUUCUUCCCCAGUGGAGGACAGAGCGCAGGAACAUUGACGGGAAACGAAAAUGGCCAUACGGAAAUUGGUGUAUAAACGUCAAACUAUGCGCAAUCGAUCGGAAAUGUUCGUGGGUUAUCGCGACCGGUCGCGGGAACCGCCUGUAUGCGGAGGCAAGGUCGUGACAGGUGCGUGGAACAUAUUCGAGAGGAGGAUGAGAACGGGACGUCCUGCGCGACGAAUGCGGAUGCGCAUCAAGCGAAGAAUGGAUAUAAACUAUCGUAGCUUCUCUCUCUCCCUCCCUCUUACACGCACACUCUCUCCCUCCCUCCCUCUCUCUUUCUCUCUCCGUUCUCUCCCCGCGAUCAUGCUUUGACGUCACGAGACAAGAUGGCGGUUUUCGGUAGUCCCGGGACAGUUGUUAAAGCUCUCUGCGCCGGGAUGGUCGACAUUUCUGGAUGACACGAACAGACCAGGUGACAAAUUUCGCCUGGUGCUCGCGACGACCUUGAGGGAAGACGGUUAUCCAGAUGGCGGGGAGUGGAAUGCGACGGAACAGGAAGGAGGUUCUAGGGCAGACAGUUUUGAGUACGUGAUGUCCGGCAAGGUUUAUCGGAUCGAGGG